rnacentral:rRNA from 1 species
AACGAACGCUGGCGGUAUGCCUAACACAUGCAAGUCGCACGAGAAAGUACUUCGGUAUGAGUAGAGUGGCGCACGGGUGAGUAACACGUAGGUGACCUUCCGAAUAGUGGGGGAUAACUCGGAGAAAUCCGGGCUAAUACCGCAUAUGUACGACAAAUCUGAGAGUAGUCGUAGAAAGAAUGCCUCUACUUGUAAGCAUUCGCUAAUCGAUGGGCCUGCGGAGCAUUAGCUUGUUGGUGGGGUAAUGGCCUACCAAGGCUACGAUGCUUAACGGAUCUGAGAGGAUGAUCCGUCACACUGGAACUGAGACACGGUCCAGACUCCUACGGGAGGCAGCAGUGGGGAAUAUUGCGCAAUGGACGCAAGUCUGACGCAGCAAUACCGCGUGAGUGAGGAAGGCCUUC